GUGAAGAACGUAGUGAAAUGCGAUACGUAAUGUGAAUUGCAGAAUUCAGUGAAUCAUCGAGUCUUUGAACGCACAUUGCGCCCCCUGGUAUUCCGGGGGGCAUGCCUGUCCGAGCGUCAUUGCUGCCCUCAAGCACGGCUUGUGUGUUGGGCUCCGUCCCCCCGGGGACGGGUCCGAAAGGCAGCGGCGGCACCGAGUCCGGUCCUCGAGCGUAUGGGGCUUUGUCACCCGCUCUGUAGGCCCGGCCGGCGCCAGCCGACAACCAAUCAUCCUUUUUUCAGGUUGACCUCGGAUCAGGUAGGGAUACCCGCUGAACUUAAGCAUAUCAAUAAGCGGAGGA
rnacentral:misc_RNA from 1 species